rnacentral:rRNA from 1 species
CCUACGGGAGGCUGCAGUGGGGAAUAUUGGACAAUGGGGGCAACCCUGAUCCAGCCAUGCCGCGUGUGUGAAGAAGGCCCUCGGGUUGUAAAGCACUUUCAGUGAGGAAGAACGCCUGGUGGUUAAUACCCAUCAGGAAAGACAUCACUCACAGAAGAAGCACCGGCUAACUCCGUGCCAGCAGCCGCGGUAAUACGGAGGGUGCGAGCGUUAAUCGGAAUUACUGGGCGUAAAGCGCGCGUAGGUGGCUUGAUAAGCCGGUUGUGAAAGCCCCGGGCUCAACCUGGGAACGGCAUCCGGAGCUGUCAAGCUAGAGUGCAGGAGAGGAAGGUAGAAUUCCCGGUGUAGCGGUGAAAUGCGUAGAGAUCGGGAGGAAUACCAGUGGCGAAGGCGGCCUUCUGGACUGACACUGACACUGAGGUGCGAAAGCGUGGGUAGCAAACAGGAUUAGAUACCCUUGUAGUC